UCCGGAUGGGACCCCUGGAGAAGACCACUUUCUCCAGAGAGGCUCCCAGCCUCUCCAACAGGCCAGCGCACCCCUGGGCAUCCCUCCAAAUAGCACCUGGGACACCCCGCCCAAACCCAGGACGGCUGGCUUUGUGCGGCUUCAUCUGUCUGCUCAGGCUGGAGGAGAAGCCCGUGGCUAGAGAAUGGGACAAAGGGUGUGAAACAGGGAGCCCCGCCCCACCUGUCACUCAGGGGACACGGGUUUGAACUGUGGUCCGGGAAGAUCCCACAUGCCGCGGAGGAACUGAGCCCG